GUGGGGAAUCUUGCGCAAUGGACGAAAGCCUGACGCAGCCAUGCCGCGUGAAUGAUGUAGGUCUUAGGAUUGUAAAAUUCUUUCACCGGGGACGAUAAUGACGGUACCCGGAGAAGAAGCCCCGGCUAACUUCGUGCCAGCAGCCGCGGUAAUACGAAGGGGGCUAGCGUUGCUCGGAAUUACUGGGCGUAAAGGGCGCGUAGGCGGACAGUUUAGUCAGAGGUGAAAGCCCAGGGCUCAACCUUGGAAUUGCCUUUGAUACUGGCUGUCUUGAGUACGGGAGAGGUGAGUGGAACUCCGAGUGUAGAGGUGAAAUUCGUAGAUAUUCGGAAGAACACCAGUGGCGAAGGCGACUCACUGGCCCGUUACUGACGCUGAGGCGCGAAAGCGUGGGGAGCAAACAGGAUUAGAAACCCCUGUAGUCC
rnacentral:rRNA from 1 species